GCCGCGUGAAGGAAGACGGCCCUAUGGGUUGUAAACUUCUUUUCUACGGGAAUAAACCUCAGGACGUGUCCUGAGCUGAAGGUAUCGUAGGAAUAAGGAUCGGCUAACUCCGUGCCAGCAGCCGCGGUAAUACGGAGGAUCCAAGCGUUAUCCGGAUUUAUUGGGUUUAAAGGGUGCGUAGGUGGGAUGAUAAGUCAGAGGUGAAAGCUAGCAGCUUAACUGUUAAAUUGCCUUUGAUACUGUCGUUCUUGAGUAUAGUUGGCGUUGGCGGAAUGUGACAUGUAGCGGUGAAAUGCGUAGAUAUGUCACAGAACACCGAUCGCGAAGGCAGCUAACGAAGCUAUCACUGACACUGAUGCACGAAAGCGUGGGGAGCAAACAGGAUUAGAUACCCUGGUAGUCCACGCCGUAAACGAUGAUAACUCGACGUUGGCAAUAUACCGUUCAGCGUCCAAGCGAAAGCGUUAAGUUAUCCACCUGGGGAGUACGAUCGCAAGGUUG
rnacentral:rRNA from 1 species